rnacentral:rRNA from 1 species
AUGGCUGUCCCACAAGUUGACAAGAAAAUGCUUGGUGAACUUGAAGUUAUGGGAUUCCCCGCCGUUCGUUCAAUUAGGGCACUUCAUUAUUCUGGUAAUUCCAAUCUUGAAUCUGCGAUAAAUUGGCUUCUGGAACAUGAAAGUGACCCAGACAUUGAUCAGCUACCAUUGGUUUCAAGAGAAAUCAGCAUUGAAUGUGGUGACACAUCAAGCGAAGUGAGAAACAGCGUUCAAGGAAUGAGCUUGAAUCUUGGAAUGCAUGGGUACCUCACAAAAAGAAACAGAGGGUUAUUAUUACGAUUUACGGACUACCGAUGGAGAAUAUGCAUUCAUGAGAAGCUUAUCUACUCCAAGACCCAUGCCCAGGCGAGAAAACCAGAAGAGCAAACUACAGCUGGAAGUCAGAAGGAGACUUCAGAGGUGGAAAGAGAACUCAAUGCCAAUGAACAUGAGGAAGAGGAUAGAAAGAGGGUUUUAGCACUACAUAAGUCAAAGCGUGACGAGGAAGAAAAAGCACGAGGGAGAAUCAGAAAUCAACUUCAGGAGGAUAAGAGGGAGAGGAUUCAAGCUGCUAAAGAUGUUAUCGAAGCAAAACGGACUCUUGAAGAAAAUCAAAGAAAACGCAUGAUGGAAAGUCGAAAAGCAGAACAAGAGGAGGAGAAAAGAGCAAGAGAGAGAAUCCGUCAGCGUAUAGAGGAUGAUAAGGCAGAAAGAAGGAGAGGGCUUGGUUUGCCACGGGAAAAUACAGUAGCAUCAGCUCCGAUAGUAACUCUCGCAAAGGUAAAACCUAUUGAACCAGUUGUAACAUCAGAACAAUUGAGAGAUUGCCUACGAACUCUGAAAAAGAAUCACAAGGAUGACAACGCUAGAGUGAAAAGAGCAUUCCAAAUAUUGCUGAAGAUAGUCGCCAACAUAGUAAAGAACCCAGAAGAGGAGAGGUUCAGGAGGAUUCGACUAAGCAACCCUGUUUUCAAGGACAGGGUGGGUAAUCUGCAAGGCGGCGUAGAGUUCCUGGAGCUGUGCGGGUUCCAGAAGCUCAGGAACAACAGCUACCUGGUCAUGCCGAGGGGCAAGGCCGACGUGGCGCUCCUCAACGCGGCGGGGGUCGAGAUCGCGUCUGCCAUGGAGAAUCCCUACUUUGGGCUGCUCUCCAAGUGA